UACAGAGGCCUCGAGCGUUAGGCGGAAUCACUGGGCUUAAAGCGUGUGUAGGCGGACUUCUAAGUACCUUGUGAAAUCCCACGGCUUACCCGUGGAACGGCUGGGUAUACUGGUCGUCUUGAGCCAUCUAGGGGCUACCGGAACAAAUGGUGGAGCGGUGAAAUGUGUUGAUAUCAGGAGGAACACCCAUGGCGAAGGCAGCCUCCUGGGCCAACACUGACGCUCAUGCACGAAAGCGUGGGGAGCAAACAGG
rnacentral:rRNA from 1 species